rnacentral:rRNA from 1 species
AUCGAACGCUGGCGGCAGGCUUAACAUAUGCAAGUCGAGCGGGGUGAUGGUGCUUGCACUAUCACUUAGCGGCGGACGGGUGAGUAAUGCUUAGGAAUCUGCCUAUUAGUGGGGGACAACUUCUCGAAAGGGAUGCUAAUACCGCAUACGUCCUACGGGAGAAAGCAGGGGAUCACUUGUGACCUUGCGCUAAUAGAUGAGCCUAAGUCGGAUUAGCUAGUUGGUGGGGUAAAGGCCUACCAAGGCGACGAUCUGUAGCGGGUCUGAGAGGAUGAUCCGCCACACUGGGACUGAGACACGGCCCAGACUCCUACGGGAGGCAGCAGUGGGGAAUAUUGGACAAUGGGGGGAACCCUGAUCCAGCCAUGCCGCGUGUGUGAAGAAGGCCUUAUGGUUGUAAAGCACUUUAAGCGAGGAGGAGGCUCUUUUGGUUAAUACCCAAGAUGAGUGGACGUUACUCGCAGAAUAAGCACCGGCUAACUCUGUGCCAGCCGCCGCCGUAA